rnacentral:rRNA from 1 species
AACGAACGCUGGCGGCAGGCCUAACACAUGCAAGUCGAACGCCGUAGCAAUACGGAGUGGCAGACGGGUGAGUAACGCGUGGGAACAUACCCUUCGGUUCGGAAUAACUCAGGGAAACUUGUGCUAAUACCGGGUACGUCCGAGGUAAAACUUGGAGAAAGAUUUAUCGCCGGAGGAUUGGCCCGCGUCUGAUUAGCUUGUUGGUGAGGUAAUGGCUCACCAAGGCGACGAUCAGUAGCUGGUCUGAGAGGAUGAUCAGCCACAUUGGGACUGAGACACGGCCCAAACUCCUACGGGAGGCAGCAGUGGGGAAUAUUGGACAAUGGGCGAAAGCCUGAUCCAGCCAUGCCGCGUGAGUGAUGAAGGCCUUAGGGUUGUAAAGCU